GACGAACGCUGGCGGCGUGCUUAACACAUGCAAGUCGAACGGAAAGGCUCCAGCUUGCUGGAGUACUCGAGUGGCGAACGGGUGAGUAACACGUGGGUAAUCUGCCCUGCACUCUGGGAUAAGCCUGGGAAACUGGGUCUAAUACUGGAUAUGACCUUUCUCCUUAUGGGGUUUGGUGGAAAGUUUUUCGGUGUAGGAUGAGCCCGCGGCCUAUCAGCUUGUUGGUGGGGUGAUGGCCUACCAAGGCGACGACGGGUAGCCAGCCUGAGAGGGUGAUCGGCCACAUUGGGACUGAGAUACGGCCCAGACUCCUACGGGAGGCAGCAGUGGGGAAUAUUGCACAAUGGGCGGAAGCCUGAUGCAGCGACGCCGCGUGAGGGAUGACGGCCUUCGGGUUGUAAACCUCUUUCAGCAGGGACGAAGCGUAAGUGACGGUACCUGCAGAAGAAGCACCGGCUAACUAUGUG
rnacentral:rRNA from 1 species